rnacentral:rRNA from 1 species
GGUCCUUGAUGUGUAGGAUAGGUGGGAGGCUUUGAAGCGUGGACGCCAGUCUGCGUGGAGCCGCCCUUGAAAUACCACCCUUUAAUGGCUGGUGUUCUAACGUAGACCCGUUACCCGGGUUGCGGACAGUGUCUGGUGGGUAGUUUGACUGGGGCGGUCUCCUCCCAAAGAGUAACGGAGGAGCACGAAGGUUGGCUAAUCCUGGUCGGACAUCAGGAGGUUAGU